rnacentral:misc_RNA from 1 species
AAAUAUUCCAUCUGAGAUAGGUUUAUUGACAAAUCUUAAAAGCUUAACUCUAUCUCUUAAUCUGUUCAAUGGUCACAUCCCUUAUGCAUUUGGUAUGUUGAGGUCUCUUUCUGAUCUUUCUUUGUUUGAAAACAAUCUCACAAGUUCAAUCCCUAAUUCAAUAACAAACUUGGGAAAUCUAUCUAGUCUCUGCUUAAGGGGUAACAAACUCUCUGGUUUCAUACCUUCAAAUAUUGGGUUGCUGAUAUCUCUUAAUUAUCUUGAUUUGUCAAGUAAUGCUUUUGCUGGGAAAAUUCCUACUUCAAUUGGAAACUUGAGCAAAUUAUCCUACCUUGACUUUUCCAAGAAUCAGUUAAAUGGUGACAUACCUCGAGAAGUGAGUCAAUUGAGAAAUUUGUCGUCUCUAUGGCUUUUUUAUAAUCAACUUUCAGGAUCCAUUCCUUCUGUACUUGGAAACAUGACUAUUCUGGCCGAUUUAGCUUUGUAUGGAAAUAAUUUAUCUGGACAAGUUCCUCCAGAAUUAGGACAGCUUAAAUCCCUUCAAGUGUUGAAUUUGUUUUUCAACCAGCUCAAUGGUUCCCUGCCUAUGGAAAUCAAUAAUCUUACCCAUUUGAUGUCUCUGAGAUUGUCUGGAAACCAAUUCACUGGUCGUUUGCCAGAAAAUGUAUGCCUUGG